AUUGAACGCUGGCUGCAGGCCUAACACAUGCAAGUCGAGCGAGCGGCGGACGGGUGAGUAAUGUAUGGGGACUGCCCGAUAGAGGGGGAUAACUCCUCGAGACGGUAGCUAAUAUCGCAUACUAUCCGAUAACCCAGAUGGGAUUAGCUAGUAGGUGAGGUAAUGGCUCACCUAGGCGCCGAUCCCUAGCUGGUCUGAGAGGAGGAGCAGCCACACUGGGACUGAGACACGGCCCAGACUCCUCCGGAGGCAGCAGUGGGGAAUAUUGCACAAGGGGCGCAAGCCUGAUACAGCCAUGCCGCGUGUAUGAAGAAGGCCCUAGGGUUGUAAAGUACUUUCAGUCGGGAGGCGUUACCGACAGAAGAAGCACCGGCUAACUCCGUGCCAGCAGCCGCGGUAAUUC
rnacentral:rRNA from 1 species